rnacentral:rRNA from 1 species
UACGGAGGGGGCGAGCGUUAUUCGGAAUUAUUGGGCGUAAAGGGCGCGUAGGCGGCGCGAUAAGUCAAAGGUGAAAUCCCUCGGCUCAACUGAGGAACUGCCUUUGAGACUGUCGAGCUUGAGGCCGGGAGGGGGUAGCGGAAUUCCCAGUGUAGCGGUGAAAUGCGUAGAUAUUGGGAGGAACACCAGUGGCGAAGACGGCUCACUGGACCGGAACUGACGCUGAGACGCGAAAGCGUGGGGAGCAAACAGG